rnacentral:rRNA from 1 species
GAUGAACGCUAGCUACAGGCUUAACACAUGCAAGUCGUGGGGAAACGGCAUUAUGUGCUUGCACAUUCUGGACGUCGACCGGCGCACGGGUGAGUAUCGCGUAUCCAACCUGCCCCUUACUUGGGGAUACCCCGUUGAAAGACGGCCUAAUACCCGAUGUGUUUCAUUGACGGCAUCCGAUAUGAAACAAAGGUUUUUCCGGUAAGGGAUGGGGAUGCGUCUGAUUAGCUUGUUGGCGGGGCAACGGCCCACCAAGGCGACGAUCAGUAGGGGUUCUGAGAGGAAGGUCCCCCACAUUGGAACUGAGACACGGUCCAAACUCCUACGGGAGGCAGCAGUGAGGAAUAUUGGUCAAUGGACGCAAGUCUGAACCAGCCAAGUAGCGUGCAGGAUGACGGCCCUAUGGGUUGUAAACUGCUUUUAUGUGGGAAUAAAGUGGCGCACGUGUGCGCCAUUGCAUGUACCUCAUGAAUAAGGACCGGCUAAUUCCGUGCCAGCAGCCGCGGUAAUACGGAAGGUCCGGGCGUUAUCCGGAUUUAUUGGGUUUAAAGGGAGUGUAGGCGGUCUGUUAAGCGUGUUGUGAAAUUUAGGUGCUCAACAUUUAACUUGCAGCGCGAACUGUCAGACUUGAGUACACGCAGCGCAGGCGGAAUUCAUGGUGUAGCGGUGAAAUGCUUAGAUAUCAUGAGGAACUCCGAUCGCGAAGGCAGCCUGCGGGAGUGUUACUGACGCUUAAGCUCGAAGGUGCGGGUAUCGAACAGG